GAACUCUUUAAUCAUUUUUUUUUCUCAAGUUAAACUAGAUGAAAAUUGACUUUCUCUUUAUAUUUUAAAUUCGUUCUUUUCUUAAAAUAAUAUCAAUUCAUUUGUAUAACUAAUUUUUAGGUUUAUAAUCCAUAUUAAUUCUUUCUUAAAAUAUGUAUAAACAAAAUUUAAAAUUUAAAAGUUUAUUUAAAUUUUUCAUGUACAACCCUGUACUGAAGAAGUAUCUUAUCUCUCACAGUAAUGGAACUUGGAUGCACUCAACUAAUUACUAGUUUAAAGUGAAUAAUACUUGCUGCAUCUAAACUCUGGCCCAAUGGUUACAGUUGGAAUAAGAAUGUCUUGAAUAGAAGGGGUUUUAUUCUGCCAGUGAAGAUUUGUCCCUGUAAUUUCAGGUUGAGGUUAUUGAAUGAUUGAUUGACUACAGUUAGAUGUCGGCUUCACAAAACCUAUAUCCUGGAACUACAAUGCUCAGGGACAAUCCUGUCCUGAAGAAUGCAGUGCCUGAUUUUAGAUUUACUGAAUGAUUAAUGGCUUUUAUCUUCCACACAUUAUAUCAGAUCAACGAUUCAAAGGUACCCUUGUA